rnacentral:rRNA from 1 species
GACGAACGCUGGCGGCGUGCUUAACACAUGCAAGUCGAACGAUGAAGCGGGUGCUUGCCCUCGUGGAUUAGUGGCGAACGGGCGAGUAACACGUGAGUAACCUGUCCUUUUCUUUGGGAUAACGGCUGGAAACGGCUGCUAAUACUGGAUAUUCAGGCUGCAUCGCAUGGUGUGGUUUGGAAAGGUUUUUUCUGGGAUUGGGUGGGCUCGCGGCCUAUCAGCUUGUUGGUGGGGUGAUGGCUUACCAAGGCUUUGACGGGUAGCCGGCCUGAGAGGGUGGUCGGUCGCACUGGGACUGAGAUACGGCCCAGACUCCUACGGGAGGCAGCAGUGGGGAAUAUUGCACAAUGGACGAAAGUUUGAUGCAGCGACGCCGCGUGGAGGGUGUAGGCCUUCGGGUUGUGAACUCCUUUUUCUCGCGAAAAAGGCACAGUUUUGGCUGUGUUGAUGGUAGUGGGGGAAGAAGCGCCGGCUAACUACGU